GCGACCGUGGCGGAAUUGGCAGACGCGCAGGAUUUAGGAUCCUGUGUCGAAAGACGUGGGGGUUCGAGUCCCCCCGGUCGCA
rnacentral:tRNA from 1 species